AGUGAACGCUGGCGGUAGGCCUAACACAUGCCAGUCGAACGGCAGCACAGUAAGAGCUUGCUCUUACGGUUGGCGGCGGGCGGACGGGUAAGGAAUCCAUCGGAUCCUUCUUUUUCUGGGGGAAUAGCGGGGAAACACUUACAAUAACACCGAAUACGAUCUACGGGUUAAUGCAGGAGUUAUUGACAGUUUUCGUGUUAAUUAGAGCCGGUGCCGGAUUAGCUAGUUGGGGGGGUAAGGGCCCACCAAGGCGACGAUCCGUAGCUGGUCUGAGAGGAUGAUCAGCCACACUGGAACUGAGACACGGUCCAGACUCCUACGGGAGGCAGCAGUAGGGAAUAUUGGACAAUGGGCGCAAGCCUGAUCCAGCCAUACCGCGUGGGUGAAGAAGGCCUUCGGGUUGUAAAGCCCUUUUGUUGGGAAAGAAAAGCAGCAGGUGAAUACCCCGCUGUUCUGACGGUACCCAAAGAAUAAGCACCGGCUAACUUCGUG
rnacentral:rRNA from 1 species